AGCAAAAAUAUCAUCAAUCCUCAUCAAUAUUUCAUGGACGCCAAGCUCAUUAACAGCACUACAUUGGAGGAAAUAUGGAGAACGGAAAUCACCACAGAGGCAUCUUUAUUGUUGAACAUGGCUGCCUCCUACCCAUACAGAACACACAGUCAUAAAAUUAUACUGCUACUAUCUCCAAACUAUGAUGUCUUGAAUGGCUCGAGUUCCAGAGACUUGAACACUUUGUUUGACCAGAGAAAGAUUACGUUAUAUAUGGCGUCUAACUACGCAGGAUUCAAGAAUAACGUCCUAGGGGUUGGCUGGGACAGUGCAGCCAUCAUGCAUCAGUCCAGGAGAUACGAAAUGAUGUCUUUUCCAAAGAGUGAAGUAGCCGAUAUUCUGGAAGACACAUCAGGAGCCUUGUUUGACUUGGAACCAAUAAUGAGCAAAGACCUCAGUAAAAUUGACACUUUGUCUAAAUACUUACACGAAGAAAGUUCUAGAAACAGUCAGUGUUUACAGAUAUGAUGGUGUAUAUAUCAAACGCGUAUGGUAUCGGAGUCAUCUUGAAUGUUUUUGUGUUGAAAGUACCGGGGGGUAAUAAUAUCAGUGUACCGGUAUCCAUGUUGUUUCAUAGAAAUGGACAGUCUGUGUUAGUGCUAUGGUUCUUGCACACAUUGUUCAAUUCAUUGUUUUAUAUAAGAACUUGAUUUUUGCAUUAUACAUUGUAGUACUCCUGUAGAUAAAUUCACAAAUAUU
rnacentral:misc_RNA from 1 species